rnacentral:tRNA from 1 species
UUUUAAUAUGGCAGAAUAGUGCAAUGAACUUAAACUUCAUAUAUAAAGAAAUUCUUUUGUUAAAAA